rnacentral:lncRNA from 1 species
GUGACAUUGUGGUACAGGGCACCAGAAAUACUGCUGGGAUCACGCCAUUAUUCUACUCCUGUUGAUGUGUGGUCAGUUGGUUGCAUAUUUGCUGAGAUGGUGACUCAGCGCCCUCUGUUUCCUGGUGACUCCGAGAUCGAUGAGCUUUUCAAGAUUUUCAGGUGUUAAUUUACACAUCCGUCCUUUUGUGCAUGCUUUAUUACUGACUGAUGAACUUUUCAAGAUUUUCAGGUGUUAAUUUACACAUCUGUCCUUUUGGGGAUGCUUUAUUACUGACAAAAAGAACGUACAUGGUGAUACUUUGAUGGUGAAAAUGUUAUCAUAGUGUAAAAUUUUGCUUCACCGUCAUGACUUUUCUAAAUCUAUCAUGCAUCAUAGUCCAAAAUCUCUGACUAAAUAAGUUGAAGUUAUUACAAAAGUUAAUUGGAAUGGGAUUACUGAACAAAGUAUGGUUUCAAGUUCUCUGUAACAUUAGUUUUAGCUGUCUGAUCCUUCAGUGUGAUUUUUAUUUGUUCUUGCUGACGUGCAGUUUUAUUUGUUAAUUGAUCCAUCUUUUCUUACUGCUCUAUGGGGUGUGCGAAGGUUUCAAAAUUGGGGUUGUGCUAUGGUUUAUCUUUCUUUGUCUAUAGGUUUGUUCCUAUGAUUUUUAUCGUAUCAAUAAUUUCAGUGAGCUUUCGUUUACAAGGAAUUUCAACUUUUUGUUCCUUGUGCUCUACGUUAUUAGAUUUCUUCAUCUGUAUGAUGUUCUCUAAUUUUCUCUG